UGGGACCUGGUCCCAUGGAUGUGGCGCAAGCUGAACAAAAGA
rnacentral:ncRNA from 1 species